rnacentral:rRNA from 1 species
GUGGGGAAUAUUCCGCAAUGGACGAAAGUCUGACGGAGCAACGCCGCGUGAGUGAUGAAGGUUUUCGGACUGUAAAGCUCUGUUGUUUAGGACGAAAGUGCCUGUUGCAAAUAGUUACAGGUAUUGACGGUACUGAACGAGGAAGCCACGGCUAACUACGUGCCAGCAGCCGCGGUAAUACGUAGGUGGCAAGCGUUGUCCGGAAUUAUUGGGCGUAAAGAGCAUGUAGGCGGGAAUCUAAGUCUGUUGUGAAAAUGCGGGGCUGAACCCCGUAUUGCGAUGGAAACUGGGUUUCUUGAGUGCAGGAGAGGAAAGGGGAAUUCCCAGUGUAGCGGUGAAAUGCGUAGAUAUUGGGAGGAACACCAGUGGCGAAGGCGCCUUUCUGGACUGUGUCUGACGCUGAGAUGCGAAAGCCAGGGUAGCGAACGGGAUUAGAUACCCUUGUAGUCC